rnacentral:tRNA from 1 species
GCGGAAAUAGCUCAGUCGGUAGAGCACAACCUUGCCAAGGUUGGGGUCGCGAGUUCGAGUCUCGUUUUCCGCU